UUUGAAGUGAACAUGCGUAAGGGUUUUUCUUUGUGUGAACUCUCUCAUUUGGAAGCAUUUUAUUGCUCUUGAUCAUGCUUGAUCAUGUUGAGGAGAGUUGAAGAAACUCAAGACCCUUGUUAUAAAUGCAAAAGAACAUGGAAUAAAAGUAGUACCUGCUUUGGUCAAAAGGAUGCUAGAAAAGAACAUGUUUCUCUUUGGGUUUGUGGAUUUACAUGAAGGUUCUGUCAGUGAGGCAGGGAACCAACUCACAGAAUUGCAAGAUGCCCGUGUGCAAGUUGCAUAUAAGAAGUUGUUUGAUGAUAUUCGGAUUGAGCAAUUCCUCCAUAUGGACAUGGUGGGUAUGUAAUUUGAUUUAGAGAUGCUCAAGAAAAUGUUAACAGAAUAUGCAGAGGCGAAGAAACAUGUCAUCAGAGAAGCAAGCAAGGCAGUAGAUGUCCAAAACAUACAGCAUAUAUCAGAUGAUAGGGAAUUUAUUGGAGAUGAAGUUGAGAGGAUCACAGAGAACUGGAACGUCCAAAGGCAAGUGUUUUAUCAGCAAACAGGACUGAAUCAACGUCAUGCUCUGAAAGAUGAGCAACAACAUCAACCACAGCACAAAAAAAAUGAACAACACGAUGAUGAUUUUGGUGAUGAAUUUAGUCAUCAACUGGAACUGCAACUAAUUGAAGAAGAACAGCUACAACAAAAACAAGAGGAUGAUGAAUGUAAUCAUGAAUUGGAGCUGUAACUUUCUGUAAAACAACCCUAAUAAUGUAGCAACAAAAUGG